rnacentral:rRNA from 1 species
GACGAACGCUGGCGGCGUGCCUAACACAUGCAAGUCGUACGAACCAGUCGGGCUUGCUCGGCUGGUUAGUGGCGGACGGGUGCGUAACACGUGAGUAAUCUGCCCUCCGGUGGGGGAUAGCCGGCCCAACGGCCGGGUAAUACCGCAUGCCGGCACGAGAUCGCAUGGUCUCGUGGUGAAAGCGGCCGCAAGGUCGCGCCGGAGGAGGAACUCGCGCCCUAUCAGCUUGUUGGCGAGGUAACGGCUCACCAAGGCUGCGACGGGUAGCUGGUCUGAGAGGAUGGCCAGCCACAUUGGGACUGAGAUACGGCCCAGACUCCUACGGGAGGCAGCAGUGGGGAAUAUCGCGCAAUGGCCGCAAGGCUGACGCAGCGACGCCGCGUGCGGGAUGAAGGCCUUCGGGUUGUAAACCGCUGUCAGGA